rnacentral:rRNA from 1 species
GUCUACGACCAUACCACGUUGAAAGCACCAGUUCUCGUCCGAUCACUGAAGUUAAGCAACGUCGGGCUCGGUUAGUACUUGGAUGGGUGACCGCCUGGGAACACCGAGUGCUGUAGACU